rnacentral:rRNA from 1 species
AAAGGAAUAGACGGGGACCCGCACAAGCGGUGGAGCAUGUGGUUUAAUUCGACGAUAAGCGAGGAACCUUACCAAGGCUUGACAUGUAGCUGCAAGAUCUAGAAAUAGAUCCGCCUUCGAGGGUGCUACACAGGUGCUGCACGGUUGUCGUCAGCUCGUGCCGUGAGGUGUUCACUUAAGUGUGAUAACGAGCGCAACCCCUAUCAUUAGUUACAAGUGUCUAAUGAAACUGCCGGCGUUUAAGCCGGAGGAAGGUGGGGAUGACGUCAAAUCAGCGUGGCUCUUACGCCUUGGGCGACACACGUGCUACAAUGGGAUAUUACAAAAGGACGCCAAGGAGUAAUCCGGAGCAAAUCCUCUAAACUAUCCCCCAGUUCGGAUUGAGGGCUGCAACUCGCCCUCAUGAAGCCGGAAUCGCUAGUAACCGUAGAUCAGCCUCGCUACGGUGAAUACGUUCUCGGGUUUUGUACACACCGCCCGU